UAUCUUUUGUCACCCUGCCAGAAAGAAAAAAAGUAAGCAGUCCAUCAGUUAGGGUCCUGAUGAGUGUUCUUUAACCAGUGCUUUUCACUCAUGAUCACACUCACUAGACAUCAGCUAGAUCAUCUUCUGGCUGUUAGCGGAAAGACUGAUCUACACUGAAUGAGCUUCUCCUCAUAACCAAAGAUCUCUAGCACUUUUGACUCUUCAAGGUAACUGAUGCCAUUGUCUUUUCACAUUUGCCCUUUCUCUUUUAACCUGAAAGGCAUCCAACCAGAGGUCAGAUUUUGGCUUUGCCACUUACAGCAUGACCUUUGAUCAUCAGUGUCUUCAACUCUAAAAUGAGAAUUUUUAACACCUGAAGUUGUUAAAAGUAUUAAGUGAAACAAUUAUGUUAAUAUGCUUGGUAGCAUAAGGAGCUAUGUAAAUAUUGAUUACUAUUUUGAAAACCUUCUAGAACUUUUGAAUAUAUUAACUUCUACAGUUUAAUGUGUGAUCCCUUGAAAUAAAUCCAUAGAGUUGUUUAAUUACACUAGUUGCCAUAUUCCCUCCCAAAGAAGUAGGAGAACUCAUCUUACUCAACAACUCCUGUCUUCCAUUUGGCAGCUCUUGCAUUUCUAACAUGAGAAAGAGCUUACCUUCUAACAAAUAAAAGUGUCAAGUUUUUCUACGUACACAACUUAGUUUAUUGGUACUAUUUAAAAUGUCCACAUAUUACCUGGCAAACACUGUCAAGUGCUAGGAAGGAACAGAAUUUUAAAGCCCUCAGUGGAAUAUGUAACCACGAAGAAGAAUCCAGUUAAUGGGAUUUAGCCAAAAAGAUACAAAUUAAGACCUCACCAGAAAACCUAAAGACACCAACACAAGCACCAUAAAAUAAUCUGACCAUGACUCUGAGAGAUUUGAGAGAUUUCCUAAAAGUCAGAAUCAUCAGAGAUAGGAGAGUUGGCUGGGGAAGUACAACUCAAUUUUGAAGAAAAAAACAUUUUUAAAAAAAAGUUUGGCUGCAUGGGCACUUUGUUGCAUCACGCAGGCUUAGUUACCUGUGUGGACUUAGUUACCCAGAGGCAUGUGAAAUCUUACUUCCCCGACCAGGGAUAGAACCUGGAUUCCCUACAUUGGAAAGAGGGUUUGUAACCAAUGGAAUAGCAGGGGAAGUCCCAGAAAAAGCAUCUUAGCACUUGAAACUCCCCAUUGCCGUGGAUGAUGGCACACCAUAGAUGGAGGAGCCGGGCACCACUCUGAAGAGGAGGAGUGCCAUCGCUGCCCAUUAAGUGCACACAACAUGCCCUUUGAUCAAUAACAUCGAAAAAGAAGACGACACAUGGCCGAGAGAAUAGCUCUUAAGUACAAGUGAAAUUGAAACUUCAGUUUCCAAAUUGCACAAUUCCUGAGGAGUAAAGUAAAUCCUUGGCCAGGAUCCCAUGAAGACUCCAUCAAGCAACAUCACCAGGAAAUUUUCCAGCACUCUCAAUCUCAUUGCAUCUGUAAAUGAAGAUAUCUGCAUAUUCCUCUUCUGAAUUUGCAGGGCUGGGCUCUCAUCAAAGUGAUGGUACCGAGAUUACCAUGAAACGCGAGCAGUCUGAAUGCCACCUAAAAAGGUAAAAUUUAAAACAGAGUCUCCUUUCGUGAGAUUACUCCAAUCUGAUUUUUACAGAUAAGGAAGCCAGGGCCUUGAAAAACUAAGAAACCCAAAGAAAUGUCAAACACAGAUUAAACAGGUGGUCAAAACUUUGUUUUAACUACUUGUGUCUGUUCAUUGCCUUGUUUGAUAAUGGAUUUGAGGCAGUUUGUAUGUAUAAUCAUUAUAAAAUGGGAGAACAGUUUCCCGAAGCAAGAAUGGUGAAAUGUUUUAAAAUUAGA